UCCCAUGUCUCCCUCCGAUGCGCGGUUCAUCUCCAUCAAGCGAUAGAGAGAAGGGGGAGGGCUCUGGUCUCUGUGAGAGGAAAAGGAUUAGAGAGGAGGCCGGCGCGGACAGGGUCUGCGGGAGAGAUUGAGUAGGGGAGAGGGUGUCAGGCAGAGACGCGAGGGGGUGGCUCGAUCCAGCCGCCGCGGGCGCCUAAUCCCCCAUUGUGAAGAAUGCCCUCCCCUGUGUGGUUCCCUGUGCACAUUCCGCUGCGGGCGCCUAACCCUGACUGCCUCCGGUGCUGCCCGCAAAGCCUCUGGACCGUCCCCCACAGCCUUGCCUCGAACCAGCAUCUUCCGUGCCUCCCUGCCAUUUGGUAUACGCCACGGUCUGGAGGCCGCUAUCUCCGCUUGAGCUGAUUGGGAAGUAUUGGUCAAGGAUUUCUCCAAGAUAAGGAAGUUUAUAUUGAGAAGGAAUUGGGGUAUGUUUGAAAAGCUAACAUAAAAUAGCCUUGGAGUAUGUACCAGUGUAUUUUAUUGGAAUCUGGUUAGAUUUAAUAAGUAGUCUCCAAUUCAUGUAGAUGCAUAGUAGUAUCAAGGAUCAACAUCAAAUGUUCCGUGCUAUGUAAUUGUAGUCUAAAGUGAGAUGCUGUACAAUGGGGCAGCUCACAUUAUUUUCCAUUUCAUUGUUCUUUUCUAAGCUACCUCUGGAUUUUCAUUUGCUAUAUCUGAGUACUGAUAUGUUGUAGUUGUAACCUAAUUUUUCGUGUUCAUUGUCUAUGGCAUUUGUUUAGCAGGUCC